rnacentral:lncRNA from 1 species
GGUCAUUUCUCAGUAUUCACAGUUUUUUCUUUGACAUUAGCCUUUCUAAUCCCAUUAUUUUCUCUCAACAUCCUGUUUUUAUUUUCAUUUCUGUAUUUAAGUCUGACUUAUCACACGCACCUCAUAUUCUCCAUUCUGCUCUCCUGUUGUAGUCCACGUUCCUCUCCUCCUCUGACCCAUAGACGUGCACUGGUGCUGGAGGUAGUGGGGCUUUCUCCGUUUAAGAUCUUGCUGUGAGAAGCAGACAGGUCUCCGCAAGACUGACUGCAAGACCACUCUAGUAACAUAGUCCUUCCUUGAAUUUCCUAAACCCAAGCUUUCUGAUUUUUAUCUUACUUCCUGGCUACCCUAGCCUUCUCAGUAAGGCUCCCCCUUGGAUACUUUCCUGGGCCCUUUUCAGCUCAUCGCCUGUCAAGAAGCUGUGUGCCAGCUUCAAAUGUUUACUUUCCCGAGGAACGGACUCACGGAGUCCAAAGCUGUUCACUGUGUUAUCGUUCCUUACUUAGCCGUUUGUGAUUCGUGCUUAACUCGGUUUCUCCCAAAUCUGUCUUUCUCUGCUUGCUCUCUGGUUCUGUGAGCACUACCACCAUCCCCUGAGUUAUUCAAACCAGGAAGUUAUCACUGCCUCACCACUUCUAAUUUCCCCACCCCUGAUAGCUUUUGUUGGUAACAUCUCCCUUUGACAUCAGUCUUGUUGCCUUCCCUAAGUCCAGUGGCGACAGAAGGGUCAUUGUAGAGCCUUUUAUUGCCCUUCCCGCUGCUCUUCAGUGAACUGUCUUCUGUCUGGACCAGGUCAUCUAAAAAGCAUGUAGGAUGGUGUCCUUUCUCUGUUUAAGAUCUUUUACUGAUUUCUUACUAUGUCUGAGGCCAACAUUCUUACUGCUGCCUACCGGCCUUUCACAAGUUGGCCUUGUCUAUUUUGAGUCUUAAGUUUCCCUACCCCGUCACCAGGUGCUGUGUUCCUGUUUUGAACUUAAGAUGGUUUACUGUUAGAAUUCUGGGAGAUAGGUAAAAUCAGUGUUUUGGUAUUGUUUUAGUUGGUUUAUAUUGUCAUGAAGAAACACCACGGUGGAAAAGCUGGUUGGGGAGGAGCAGGUUAUUUGGCUUCCGCUUCCGCUUCCGUCGCUGUUCAUCACUGAAGGAAGUUAGAAUAGGAACUCAAGCAGAGCAGGAACCUGGAGGCAGGAGCUGAUGUGGAGGCUAUGAAUGGAGAGCGGCUGCUUACCUGCUUGCUUCCCCUGGCCUGCUCAGCCUGCUUUCUUAUAGAACCCAGGACCACCAGCCCAGGGAUGGCCCCACCCACAAUGGGCUGGAUCCUCGCCAUUGAUCACUAAUUAAGAAAAUGCUUUACAGCUGGUUCUCAUGGAGGAGGCAGUUUCUCAAUUGAGGCACCUUCCUCUCUGAUGACUCUAGCUUCUGUUAAGGUGAUCUAAAACUAGCCAGUAUACUGUUGAAAUACUUUUUUUUUUUUUAACUUUUAAGGAAGGAAACAUUUUUUGGCUUAUAAUUUAAAAAAAUUAUCUUUUUAUUUUUUAAUAUUAUACUAUAAUUACAUCAUUUCCCCUUCCCUUUUCUUCCGGCCCUCUGUUUACACCUUUCCAUAUACCUCCUCUUGCUCUUUCAAAUUCAUGAUCUUUCAUUAAUCACUGUUACAUACAUAUAUGUAUACCUAUAUAUGUGUAUAUAUCUCUGUGUGUGUGUGUGUGUGUGUAUAAAUAUAUAUAGUUAUAUACACAUACAAGUACAACCUACUCAGUUGGUAUGUUAUUUGUAUGUUUUCAGGGCUGACCUUUUGUAUUAGGAAGCCAGCGUGUUUGCUCCUUGCUGGAAAGGGUAUAUUUCCUGUGUUAACAUUCUGUAGUUGCCUGCAGUCUUUGUGUAGGCCUCUCUCACUUUAGCACGUCUGUUGUCCUUGCUCAGCUCCUGCUUAGGCAGUCCUGUUGGUGAGCCUUUAUGGGUGUGGUUUCUGACAUUCCUAGGAGACAUAGUCUCACAGCAAACUCCUUGAUCUUCUGGCUCUUAAAGUCCUUCUGCCCCCACUUAAGCAGAGGUGAGCCCGAGUCUUAGGUGAGGGUGUUGUGAUGUAGCUCUAUCUGUUGGAACUGGGCUCCACAAGCUGCCAUUUUGAUUGCUUGCGGUUUUCUGUGAUGGUCUCGUUUUGUUGAAAAGUGAAGUUUCCUUGGUGAGGAAUGAGGACUAACUACACUUCCCUGUGGGCAUAAGGACAAAUAUUUAGAAUGUAGUUAGGGAGUGUGCUGGUUUAGUAAAGUGGUAGUUGUAGAUCUUCCUUCAAGAUCCAUGACUUCACUAGCACCGAGUGGUUGGCUAGGUUUCCAUACCAGGCAUGAUUUCCUCCUUGUUGUGUAGGUCUUAAGUCUGAUUAGAGAGCUGUUGGUUAUUGUCAAGGCAUUCGAGCCACUAAUGUACCCUUAGGGUUACGAUGCCGUCCUUGUGGUUCGCAGAGACGGACAUUAUUAGCUGGGUAGGACUGUUGGGUGGGUCCCUCCUUUAGAAGUUUGCAUGACAUCUUCUGUACCAUAAAAAUUAGUCCUCAGGGAGGAAGCUUUCAGCUUAGUUCUAGCUCAGGAGCCUCUGGGCCACCUUUCUAAAGUGUACAGUACCAAUUGGGCCUUAAUGGCUAUCUUGGGGGGGGGGCAACCAAGGGCAGUAACAAUAGCCUGUAGUAGUUGGGGAGUGUCUUGGACAGUUCUGACUAGCAACUGAAAAGAUGGUCUCAUGUCUGGUGUUGGGGUUUGGUUAGAUGGCCUUUGGUUCUUAGAGGAAGCAUUGUCCAUCAAGAUGAGAAAACGUUGAAGUAGUCUUCUUUAUAAAAAUGAUUGUUCUUCUGGCAAGCUCAGUCUCCGAGAGCUUGUGUGACCGUGAAAAGCCUGUUAUUACAUUUUGUUUUCACACAUGUUUACGCAUGCCAAAUAUUCCUGUGAAACUGUUGAUAACUAAAUAUAUAUAAAUGUAGAAUAUGAUUCCUCUCUUUCUCUUUUUGCUCCAUCAUUCCUUUUGCUUCCAUUUCUCAUGAUAAUUAAGGAUGCUGUGCUGUAUGAGUCUCCUUUCUGGAAAAGUGUAGCAACCACCCUGUAUCAAAAAAGGCUCUCCUUUUAGCAAAUUGAGAUCAUCACAGAAAAACACAAUUAGACAAUUGAAUUGUGGGGACCCUAGCCCUAAUGGAUACAUCUACAUCACAGCUUCUGCAGAGAUGUCACAGGAAACAUAGAGUAAAAGGGGUGUGAAAGCAUUGCAGGGUUCAGGGUACCAGGAGGUGUGCUAUGAAAGUCCCUAGAAAUGACGGCAGGAAACAAGGUUGGGACAGUGGCAGCAUCAGUGGACAUGUUAACAGGGAAGGGGGUUUAAUCUGUGGGAUCCCACACUUAGAGAACUACAGGGAAUUAAUGACUGACAGAAAGAGAAUUGGCUCUUCCCAGGGCUGAGCCCCUGAUUGAUUCUCCAGUGCAGAAUGGUCAGUUCCAGAACCAUGUACACACAGACAACAGAGAUGGACUCAGCACGUGGGGUUUAUAUAUUUGUGCAUACACAUACAUAUAUACAAAUGUAUGUGCAUAUAGGUAUGUGUAUGUCACAAUAAUGACCAAAGGAAGAGUAGAAGGAGCAUGAGAGAGGUAGGAAAGAGAGGGUACUUGGAAGGAAAGGGAGGGGGAAGAUGAUGUAAUUCUCUUUCAGUUAAAAAUAUAUUAAAAAAACAUUUAUUAAAAAGGAUGCUAAAUAUUUAAUAAUUGCAUAGUAAUAUUGGAGUGACAUGAACAUGAUUUCCCAAUGUGCAGUGUCUUUUGAAUGUAAAAUUAGGAGACAGUCUAUAAAAUAGUCCACACCAAUGGAACUGAUACAUGUGUAGAAGACUGGAUUGUUCAGGACCUGUCUGGAUCAUCUGCACUCUAUGCCAUAGAGUUGCUACUGUGGCAAGAAUGCAACUUAAC